AAACAUAUUGUUGAAAUACGCGGCUAAUGAGCUAAUUUAAGGACACCAAGUAAUUCUUACAGCUGGUUGAAAUAUCAUAAUAAUAAGUUGCUCAGGGAUUUAAAUAAUUAAGUAGUAGUUGUUGUUUCAGUAAUCAACACCACAGUUGUACAGUGCAGAGGUGGGUGGGGGAGAAAAGGAUAGGAAGAGAGAGAGAAGAGAAAGUAAAGGAAAACAGAUGCAUAUGUUUGUU
rnacentral:lncRNA from 1 species